CGUCUAUAUACGUAUAGCAUAUCAAUAAGCGGAGGAAAAGAAACUAACUAGGAUUCCCUCAGUAACGGCGAGUGAAGCGGGAAGAGCUCAAAUUUGAAAUCUUCAAGGUUUUACCUUGACGAAUUGUAGUUUAAAGAAGUGUUUUCUGUUGGAUGUUUUGGUAAAAGUUCUUUGGAAUAGGACAUCAUAGAGGGUGAGAAUCCCGUAUUUGACCAUUACUUCCAGCUGUUGUGAUACACUUUCAAAGAGUCGGAUUGUUUGGGAAUGCAGUCCAAAAUGGGUGGUAAAUUUCAUCUAAAGCUAAAUAUUGGCGAGAGACCGAUAGCGAACAAGUACCGUGAGGGAAAGAUGAAAAGAACUUUGAAAAGAGAGUUAAACAGUACGUGAAAUUGUCAAAAGGGAAGCGUUUGACACCAGUGUUGUUUUCUCGAAAAUCAAUUAAAAAAUGAUUGGAUUUUGUGUUGUAUUGACUUUAUCAGCUUUCUGCACUCUUUUCAUUGUCUUUUUUAAUGCACUUUUCGUUUAACAAGUCAACAUCAAUUUCUUUUGUUGUAAAAGGAGUCAUUGGAAGGUGGCUUUCAUUUUCGGUAGAAAGUGUUUAUAGCCUUUGACUUCUGCAAUCGGAGAGAUUGAGGUCUGCAGCGUAGAUCCUUCGGGGUUAGAUAGCAUUUGUGCUAAGUUAUAGCUUUUCAUAGACAACAUGUUGACUAUGAUUAGUCAUGUAGCUUACUCGCUUAUGUCAUUUUACCUACGCUUAGGAUGUUGACGAUCAGCUGAGCGCG
rnacentral:rRNA from 1 species